rnacentral:rRNA from 1 species
AUACGGAGGAUCCGAGCGUUAUCCGGAUUUAUUGGGUUUAAAGGGUGCGUAGGCGGACGAUUAAGUCAGCUGUGAAAUGCCCGCGCUUAACGCGGGAAGUGCAGUUGAUACUGGUUGUCUGGAGUGCCGUUGCCGUGGGGGGAAUGUGUAGUGUAGCGGUGAAAUGCAUAGAUAUUACACAGAACGCCGAUUGUGAAGACACCUCACGAAGCGGUAACUGACGCUGAGGCACGAAAGCGUGGGGAUCGAACAGGACUAGAUACCCCGGUAGUCCUAGCCGUAAACGAUGGAUACUAGGUGUGGGUGUCGCAGGGCAUCCGUGCCGCAGUUAACGCGUUAAGUAUCCCGCCUGGGGACUACGGUCGCAAGACUGAAACUUAAAGGAAUUGACGGGG